rnacentral:misc_RNA from 1 species
AAGAGACGUUGCCCUUCGGGUAUACCUCCCACCCUUUGUUUAUUAUACCUUUGUUGCUUUGGCGGGCCCGUCCUCGGACCACCGGCUUCUGCUGGUCAGUGCCCGUCCAGAGGACCUAAAACUCUGUUUGUUAAUAUUGUCUGAGUACUAUAUAAUAGUUA